UUCUGUACCUCUACAAUGCUUUGUUUGAAACUGAUUCUAUACAUAUUUAUAUGUCCCUCUAUGUUACAGAAUCCAAACCUGGUGCCUCUGAAACUGAAGAAUUAUUGCCAGAGAAGACACAAGGCAGAACUGUGAAUCAAAGGAUAAGAUCUGCUCUUAGGAAAAAAAGGGCCAGAAAAUCGCCAGCACCUAAACAUUUGCCCAGUCAAACAGAGAUUGUGCUUGGAGAGCCAAAUGCCAAAGCUGAGCUUCAUCUCCAAGAGAAGCCGAGUCGGGGAAUGUCCCUACGUUCCAGACACAGAUGCAAAACUGAUACAGAACUGCAGGGGUCUCAGUUGCUCAUGUCAGCACAAAAGAUUCAGACAAAUAAAGGUGAAAAGACUGUGACGAUGUUCCAAGAGGAGAACUCAGAAGAUGGGGAGAUGAAACAAAAGACUGUGACCCUAAGAUCUAGGGGCAAAAGUAAACCUGGUAUCAGGCUGCAGGAAUCUGAUCGUUUCACUUGCUUAACAGAGGUUAUGCAUGUGGAGAACAAGGACAAACCAAUGAAGAGUUUGCAAGAAAAAGUUAAAUCUACAAAGGAAGAGAAGAUACCUUUAAGAGCUAAAAAAAGAAUCAAAACUACUUUUGAAGAGGAAACUCAUCCAAAGACUAUAAUAUUUAUGAAUAAUGUUCAGGAGAACUUGGAAGACAUAGGAAUAAAUCAAGAAAAAUUAUGCUUCUCCUCUAGAAGCCAGAAUAAAAAUGGAGUGAAGUUUGAGAGUUCUAAUAAUUUGUCCGACGAAACCAAGGUAGCUGAUGAAGAGGCAGAAGAUAAAGUUACUGACAGUUCGGCAGUUAACAUCUUAAACAGUACAGGGGGCACUCAGAUCAUUGUAACUUCAAGAUCUUCUAGGAGCAGAAGUAAAAGAAACGUAAAGUCAGAGGUAUUUCCUAGUGUACUCAGCACUCCCGAGAUCACAGCUACAGGGGAAGUUGAAGAAAAGCCUAUCAGGAAAACCCGUAAGAAUGUCAAGGACACAGCAAUUGUAAAUCCUGGCCCAUUGCUGAGGCUUAGAGGGUCAAGUAACGUGUAUCCUACUGAUCUGUUGCCUGUCACAACAAACAGAAUGUCUGUGAGCAAGGAUGAGGGGAAACCAGAAAAAAAUCCAAAAGAAGAGAGGGUUAGAUCCUCAAGAUCUGGAUCUCGGCAAAAAUAUACAGACCCCAAGUCAUCCCGUAGUUCAGCUGAAGUGACAGACUUGGAGGGAGCCGACAAGCCUGAGAGAAAAACCCUAGGAAAGCCCAAAGAAAAAGCAAUAAAGCCAGAGGCAGCGUCAUCGAGGACCAGAUACCAAACUAGGUUUUUUGAGAGAGAGAUGCAGCAUCUUGAUUCUCUUCCUGUUAUUCCUGAAGAAGCACCCUCAGAGCAGGGUGACAAAGAACGAAGGCAGGUAAAGCACAAAACUCAGACUCAAGAUGGUAGGUCUACGAGGUCUAAAAGCAAAGCAAACACAGGCUCUGAGAGAUUUCUGAAUAUAUCCAGUGAAGCAGAAAUACCACACAUGGAGAAAACGGCAAAGGUUCUUGUGAAAAACAGGAUGAAGCAGCAGGAUGCAGCAGCCAGCAAGGAAAUGCGGCUGGGAUCCAGCAGCCGAAAUAAGGGCCAUCUCUCUGGUAAGGUGCUGGAGUCUUUUCCUGGUAGAGCAGAACAAGCCUCUUGGGAGACAGACCAAGCGGCAGGGCUCCAACCCCGUAGAUUAAGGAAAACAAACACUGACACACCUCCUUCAGAAAUAAUGCAGGUGGGGGACCCCAAAGACAAUCCCAUGAAGAAAAUCCAGGCAAGAAAGCCAGAAGACCCAGAGGUGGUAGUGAAUCGGCUGCACCUGAGACCUAGAAGAGUGAAAAUCCUUGCCACAGAGAUGGCAAACAGAGGAAUCACUUUAAAAAAUGCUGUGGUCUCAAAAGAUGAAACUUCACCUAAAGGACCAAGGCACAACCAGAGAGCCACACGCAAUGCUAAGCGAUGCAUUACCGAGGAGGCAGUUACUGGAACCUCAAAACAGGAAAAGAACAUUCAAACCAAAAAGAGGAAAACUAGAAAAGACAUCGAAGAUGUUUAGCUGAGAAGUGGAAGAAGAAAAAAAAAUGACAAUUUUAGUUUAAUGAUAAGUAUUAGUAUCCCCAUAGAAUAAUUUUUGCAAUAAAAUUGAAAGUAAGUUUUGUAAGAAAUGUUAUGUGCUUUGGUAUAAUCUUUUUUAUAUCCCGUAUAAAUCUUCAUUCAAUAAAUGUGCCUUUAGCAAAUGUCUAUAAACUCUUGUGUCAUUUAGCUUCCUCUACUCAUGGAAAUAAAAUUGGGA
ensembl:lincRNA